UUGAUCAAUGGUUCUCUCCGAUUGAGAAAUUAAAAAUUACAGAAAACAAAGAGCUUACUUUCCAAUUCAUGUCCAGCUCAUUGAUCCUAUAGAUUUAGAGUUUCUUACAUGCUUAAGAUCUGGAUCUUCAAAUCUUUCAUCUCUGAGAGUUUGCUGAUAACAAAUACCAUUUUGAAUUCAAGAAUUUUGCAAAUGAACCCCGUUUCAGUUUCUUCAUUUUCGCUUAUAGAAGUGGCUCCUAAAACAAGAUCUUUCAGUUUUCUUCCCUGCUUUUUCUUGCUAUUGGCCUGUCUCUUCACAACAGGCCAUGGUUCUGAGAGUGAUAUCCAUUGCUUGAGAUCCAUUAAACAGUCAAUUGAUCCAUUUAAUCAGUUAUUUGACUGGGAUUUCAACAGAAAUACCAAAGGGUACUUUUGUGGAUUCACUGGUGUUGAGUGCAUGGUCAUUGGUGAACAUAGAGUAUCAGGUCUUCAGCUUUCUAAUAUGUGGCUUAAAGGAUCAUUCCCUCAUGGCAUUGAAAAUUGUUCAGUACUGCAGACACUUGACCUUUCCACAAAUCAAAUUUCAGGUGAAAUUCCAAAGGGUGUUGCCAAAUUAUAUUCGCUGAUGACCCUUAAACUUGAUGGAAACCAGCUAUCUGGUGAAAUCCCUCAAGAAAUUGGGUUGCUUCCUCAAAUCAAAUCUUUCAAUGUUGCCAACAAUUUUUUGUCAGGGCAAGUGCCAGUGUUUACCAGAAGUCCUCAAGUAAGCUUGAGUUAUGCCAAUAAUAGUGGUCUUUGUGGGCACACUCUAGAACCAUGUGAAAACAAAUCUUCUGAUAGAUCAUUUUGGUAUAGUUUUGCUAUUGCUUAUGUUUGUUCAGCAACAUCAGCCAUAGUUUCUUUUAUGUACUAUUACCAACCUUGGAGAGACUUGAAGAAAAGGAGGAGAAAUGCUAUAUCUUUUCAAAGAAAGAGACAGAAUAAUCAACCUCGUACUUCAGAUGUUGCUGAGUUGCUGCCAUUGGCAUUGCAAGAGCAUGGAACCAAAGAGCUCUCAGCAUUGUUGGAGAGGUUGAUUUCUAGAAUAAGCUUUGGAGAAUUAUGUGAAGCAACAAAUUAUUUCAGCACGGACAAUGUCCUAGGAUUUGGAGUGAGAGGGAUCGUGUAUAAGGCCAGGCUACCAAACAACUAUUUCAUGGCAGUUAAAAGACUCUAUGAUUCUCAAUUGUACAAGAGAGAGUUCUUGUUAGAAACGAUGAUCUCAGCUAGAUACAGACACCAAAACAUAGUCCCUCUGCUUGGAUUCUGUCUGGAUAAAAGGGAAAGGAUUCUGGUUUAUGAAUACAUGUCAAAUGGAAAGCUCCAAGAUUGGCUACAAUCUGAUGGACCUCAACCUAUGGUAUUUGAAUGGUCUGUCAGGGUUUAUAUUGCUCUUGGACUAGCCAGAGGCUUGUCUUGGCUUCACAAGAAGUGCAAAAUAGUCCAUCUCAAUCUGAGUUCUGAGUGUGUUCUGCUCAGCAAAGAUUUCGAACCCAAAAUUUCCAACUUUGGCAAGGCAAAAUUCAUCAAUCAUACUAACGAUCGUUUGAGGACAAAGCUGCUUAUGAUAAAUGGACUUGGGCAGAAGGGUUCUGUGGAGAAGGAUGUGUACAGCUUUGGGAUUAUCCUUUUUGAGCUCAUAACAGGGAAGAGAUUGAGUGCAACUACUGAUUCUUCUGACAGUGUUGGCAGCAGCUCUUUGAUGAAAUUGAUCAGUAGUAACUUGUUCAGUGGUCCUUACAAUUUUUACAAUGUCAUUGAUAAAUCUCUUAUUGGAAAAGGAUUUGAUGAGAAAAUCUUUGGUCUCAUUGAAGUAGCACGUGACUGUAUUAAGCCUUCUCUGGCUCAGAGACCAAAGAUGGCUGAUGCGUACAAAAGAAUGAGAGCUUUGUGGGAGGGAUAUGGACCCACGUACUAUUCUGGAAGUCUAAAGCCAUCUACGAUUUAUCCUAUUGAGACUCCAUUUUUUGGGAAGGCCCUUUGGAAUUGAUUAUUGAGUAAAGUUGAAGCUGCUCUUCAAUCGAAAUCAAAGGCACCUGACGCUUGCGCAUUUGUUUCACUGGUUGAACGUGUUUUGAGUGAAUCACCGAAGGUCUUGAAGUUUCUCCACCACUUCAGCCGCAAUCACCCAUUACUCAUUGUUAAAGCUGUUGAAGUUCUCAAAGGGCAAUGUGCAGACGAUUUUGUUAACUGCAAUAUUACCAAGGGAAUUUGGAUCUGAUCUUCGCCGUAGGUUAAGUCUGUUAUUGAUGACAAGUUAGGGUUACUUUAGAUGCUGCGAACAGAAAAUCUUUCACCUCGAGCCGUGGCAUUGAAUUAGAUGGUGUUGUAUCUGUUGAUUGGAAGUUCAAAAUCGAUCAAUCGCGUUAUUAACAACUAGAGAUCCUGGAUCGUUUAUGUGGAAUAUGGCAGUGAUGACAUCGAUCUUUGUCACAACAUGAUCAACUUGACAUACACCAAUAUUUGUUUUGGUGAAAUGACAGAA